rnacentral:misc_RNA from 1 species
CUAAGGAGCACUUCUACGCUGGUCGGUUCGAAGAGUCGUCCUCGACCGCGUCAGAGACCGUUUAGUCCCCGUCUGUGGGACUGCGGACGCUCAUGGGUGGAACGCUGACAAGUUUCAUCGCACUCGAUCGGGACUGUGUUCCUGGACGCGGUGGAUAUACCGACACACUAUUGGGUCCUGAAAGAACAGACGUUCUUUCCAGGCAAGAUAACGAUCCGCUCGGAUCUCCUUGAUACCGCAGGGUUUUGGUUCUGUUGGUCUUGGAUGAGGGUUUGAGUGGGUGUGUUGUUUGAGAACUGCACAGUGGACGCGAGCAUCUUUGUUAGUAAGUGUUUAAGAGCGUAC